GGAUAGCUCAGUUGGUUAGAGCAUGGCGUUGAUAACCCCAGGGUUGCAGGUUCGAUCUCCAUAUGGGACA